ACCUUCCAGGUGGAGGGGUCCCUUUGGGAAUGUCUCAGGAGGGGGACCUGGGCCAAGGGCAACUCCAGGGCCCUGGGCAGGCUUC
ensembl:misc_RNA